UAACUGCCCUGGAAAGUUUUAUCAAGUGCCUUUUGAAGAGGUAAGGCAAGGAAGGCCUAGGGAAAGGAUGAGAUUUAAACGGGGGAAACGUGCAUAUGCAUGGAAAAACCAGGCACCGAUUCAUCCAGUCCUGCCCAACACGUGCCAGUGAUGGAGAAACACCUGAUUAUGAGCUGCUCGUGGGGGAGUGAAGCUCUUCAUCAGCUUCCCUAGUCCGUGAUGUGAACACGACUGAGAAGCUAGAAAACAGCAUCAGUGAGGAAAACCGGACGGGGAUCAGUGUUGACCUUGGAGAUGUGGCACGCUUCCAGAUACAUUACGUGGGAGGAAAUCCACACUCUGGAAAAGGCGACCCGAGGAGCUAAUGGGGGCCCUCUAGCCCUCCCCCCCACCCCAAGAAGAGAGGAAAGAGGACGCUCAGUCCCCCUGGCAGUGACCAUGACGCCCGAGUCCCCGGGCCUCCCAUAAACCCGCUCCGGCCUAGGAGUCUGCCAAGGACUCCGGCUGAUGCCAGCCUUGAACACGCCCCAGCGUCACGUAAGCCCUGCUGCACUUACGGAGCUGGCCGUCCAGCGCCUGCCAGCCUCUCCAGGACGCUUCCCCCAAGGCCAGCCAGCAUUCAGCAGACGUGAAUGGCUCAAGGGAGGACGAUGAGGGCCGAAGAAGUGACCCUUCUGAAUCACAGGUCAGAGCACGUUGUCCAGCUGCCCACGGCCAAGACGUCAAGGAAAGGUUCUCUCCCUCCAGUCCCCACUAGCCCUAGGCGGAGGAAUAAGAGAAAGCGGAUGGCUUGGCCCCUGAGAAAGGGAAAGGCCCAGUGGCUGCCGGGGGUAGUAGCCAAGGAAAUAGGAACGGGAAAGAUUUUGAGACGCCGAAGGAGCCCUUUCAGAGCCCAGCUAGUUCAUUUUGGCCUUUUCCACAUGUGCCUAAGCCACGGAGCUGAUCGGUCGCCUGGCAAGAGGCCCUGCAUCCUCCAGGCUUCAGGCUGGUGGUGCCCUGCCUCUGGAAGGCAGUCCAGGACUUAAGUGCACGGCCUUUGGAGUCCAGCAGCUGGGUUUGCAUCCUGCCUCUUCUCUCUCUGAGGAAGCUUGAGCGAGAUGCCAUGGGGAGGAUGCAGUGAUGUGAUGCACACGAGGCGCUCGGCACGCUCUGCCCUGUUCCUGACACUUCACCUCGUAGGUAUCACCGGAGCGGCUGAGCUGCCGGACCCUCCCCAGCGAGGACAGCGGCGGGACAGACACAUCGGCAGGGCGUCAAAUGUUUGUGGCUUCCAGGACCCUGCCAGGACCGCAGGACACGCCUGCAAAGCGCAGUUCCGGGCACUCGGUGAUGCUGAUGCUCUUAGCCCUGUGGUUCGUCAGAAUCACCUGGAAGGCUUAUUAAAGCAGAUGGCUGCGCCCCGCCUCCCAGAGUCUCUGAUGCGGGAGGUCUGGGUGAAGCGUGAGAAUUGAGUCUCUGCGACGCCCCAGGUGGUGCGGAUGCUCCUGGCCCUGGGGCCACGCUGUGGGAACACUGUCCUGGAUGACCUGCCCAGUUCCACCCCGGACACGCCAGUGAGACCCCUGAGACAGCGGGGUGACCCCAAAGGGCCCCAGGAGGAUAACAAUGAGGCUGAGAAACCACCAUAAACUGGGACAGAGAGCUGUGGAGAGGGAGCCACUGUGCCUUUAGGGGACCGUGAAGUCGUCUCAUGACCCCGCCUGUGUUUCUGACCUGGGGAGGGGGUCUUCUGGACCAUGUCAGGUGCCAAUAGGAGAGAGGUGCUGUGGGUAGGCACAGGCCAGGCCUGGCUGCCUGAGGGGCUCUCACCCUUGGGAACCAGACCACAAGUGAAGCCUCUCCCUACACACCAGCUAUUUACACUUGGCGCCAUCUGCACAGGGUCUUCUGACAGCACCUUCGUUCUCCUACUCCCCACACCUCGGCAAAAAUGAUACCCUUUUCCUUCCCUGGAAGGAAAAUCCAAUGUGGAUGCUUGCACAGCUGUCAAGACAAAACUCCCUCCUUCCAGAGGAUAAGGCACUCAGGCUAAAAUGAAAGAGGCAGCUCACCUCCUGCAGGAAGUCUGCCCAGAUUGUUCCCUUUGGUUUCCAAAACACAUAGAGAGCAAAGGCCAUUCAGUCAACAAAUAUGUUAGCAUCUUCUAGGAGCCAGGCCUGAGCUGGCGAUACAGCAAUGAGCAAAGACCACCCACCCUCCCUCACACGGCCAUCUGACUUCUCUUCCUGGGUCUGCUGCUAUUCCCCAGCCCCAGCUCGUACAGAGCCUUGGCAUACGGAAGGCCCUCAAACGUCUUCUCAAGAACUCCCUGAGCCCUCCCCGGAUCCUCGUCUCUGUCCCUCUGAGUCAUCCCAAACAAGAAGAGAGAGAAUAUUGUAAUUUACUAAGUAAAAAUCAAAGGAGGAAGGACAGCACUAGACAUGGGAGAAGCCUCAAGAGAGGCGGCAUCAUCAGGACCCACCCACGCAGCCCACACUAAACAGCCAUUGAGUUCACGCACACUCUCGUGUCCGAGUGUGCAAGCGCAGGCGCACAGGUACGUACACACACAGCAUUCGUGUGACCAUCUCCCCACUUGACAGAAACCGCCAGGACAAAGCUCCUCCCCCAUCCCGGGGAGCGGCACCCUGUCCCACCCCUCCUGUCCUGCCUGGCACCAGGCCCUGUCUGGGGAGCUUCAGGUAAGGGAGGAAACACAGCUCCGUGCUGGCCUGGGGACCGUCACAGGGCACUGUGGUCCCCACUCUCAGCCUGACUCCAGGCUCUGUGCUGAGGGGAAUUUAAACCCAGUUUCUUGCUGCUGGGGCUAGGGGAGCCCAUCAACUCCAGUAAGAAAGAAAAAUUUCCUAAAAAGAAAUAAAGUGUUUUAC